ensembl:lncRNA
UUUUACAGCAAUGCUAGUGGAAACUGAAUCAGCUAGUGUGCAUACAAAAGCAUGGGGCAAAUGAAGGAAAGCAGCUCUUUUAUUUCAAAAGCACUGAAGACAAAAACAACUACCUCUGUCAUGUACUGAGUAAGGAGACCAACUGACAUUUACAUUUGUAUGCCAUUUGGAUUUGGGAUGGUCAGUCAAUGUUUUCACUUUCAAUAUUAACAAUAGUCUGUUCAUAUUCUUGUCAACAAUGAGCACUUUUAUGUAUACUGUGAGGUUAACAGUUUAUAUUAUUUACAGUAUAGUGUCCUUAAAUGCUGUGAGAAUUGGUUUGAUACCAAGGCAAUUUGACAAACCCUGUCUAAUCAUAUGAUACUGAAUUUAAUUGAAAAAUUUGUCAACAGCGAUAAACUAAAAUUCAUACUGAUUGAGCCUACAUGACUUGCAGCUUGUUUCUAAUCACACAGCAUGCCACAUACUGUACAUUGGGUCACUCCAGAUGCAUCAUGGUGAAAAAUACUGAAUGAAAUCUGCAAUUUGCGGAUAUCAACAUACAAGGCCAAUCAAAAGACCUUCAAUUUGCCAACAGGUUUAUCUAUGUACAGGUAAGAUGACUUUUUAUACAGCUAAUUUAAACACUUCUCUCACCAUUCCCUCGACUACAGCAGUUGCAACUUCUCUCAAACUCUUAAAAACACCUAUUCAAUUGAUAUUUGUGAGAGAACAGUUUGUGCACAGUAUAAAACAAAUCAAAGGAAAAUCUAUUUCACUGAAGCAGUAGCGAUGGAAUGACAAGCAAAUUGUGCCCCAGUCAUUACCAUAUAGUGAUGAACAACACCCAUUAUAGAGGGAGGGAUUUCCUUUGUUGUGAAAUGUUCAUUGUCGGUACAUUGUCUGGUUCAAUGGAGUGAUAAGUAAAAAGGGUCACAAAAUGCUUUUCUACCACCGAGGAUGUUUUACAUAUCAGGGUACUGACUUAAAAUAACCAACCUGACGAUUAUGGCGACAGUGCAUAUAGUCACCUUAGUAUUUACACACAAACAUAAUGCGUCUAACAUGCAUUUCAAGUCAUUUGCAAAGACAUCUAUUUGAACACUUAUUUUGCAUCGUACUUGUUGACCCAGCGUUAAAGAUUUCAAUCAAGUUUCAAAUGAUCCACAAUCCGUGUCGUUCCACCCUUUUCCAUCUCAUAAAUGUAUAUUGUAUGUCGCAUGACCGCACAACGGUUCAGUUAUGAUGGGAAUUUGAGAGAAUACACUGAUUAUAGUGUCCGCAAUUCGGUAGUGUAAGCCUCUCGGACUGCUCAUAGACAAGCAACUGCUCAGCAUUUAAUUUCUAUGCAUCUCUAUGUAAUAGUUGGCUCAAACUCAUACAGCAUCUGUAAUUGGGCCCUGUUCGCUUCGCAGUUUUUAGUUGGUGUUGAAAUCAAAAACGUACUUCAACAAUUAAAGCUUUGUGCGGCAGGAACACAGAAUCAAUAUUAAUUCAUGCUGAUGUCGAACAUGAGCUGCUGUUAUUUAAAUCCAAUUAAAUAAAUAAGGUUGACUUUCCCAAGCGUUCUAAAAGACAGUCAGCGUGUCAUUAGCAGUUUCUUGUCGUUGGCUGCAGCAUAUUAAACUGAUGCUCUGUAUCACAGAACAUAAAUAUAUAAAGAUGGUAACUGCUUAGAUCCAUGGUCCGUAGACUAGUAGCCUGUGUUCAGUCCCAUGUUGUUCAAUGUUCAUUAGGCUUUGCAACGGAAUUUUUAAAAAGAUGUUUCGCAACAAAAUGAAAAUUUCUUAUUGGACAAAGUCCAGGUAGUCCCACCCUGUUUGUCUACUUUUCCUGUUUGGUGCCUAAUGAACCCUGGCCCUUCUUCCUCCCACAGAAAAGUACCUAACUUCCUUCUGUCUCUCAGAGAAAUGUCUUGUAAGCACAUCGACGGCACUAGCUUCUGCGAAGGCAAACGAGUUUGUGGUUGUUGAAUUGACUCUAAUCCUGGAAACCAUGAUGAUGAUGAAUGAUUGACAGCAGCGGCCCACCAUUGUCAGCUUCACUAAAAGGCUGAGCAGGAGUCAGAGGACGAGACAGGUAGCAGACUCCAUCACUCACUUAGCAGGGUAACACCACGUUAACAGGCCAUCACGGACAACUGUCGUGGGAAGAAAAGAGAUACAUGUAUAGGAGGAGAAACUGUCAAAUGUUCAUGUAAAUCAUCAUUUGAGAGGAUGCGGUACUCACUGUGGGGAGUGUACUCACUGUGGGGAGUGUACUCACUGUGGGGAGUGUACUCACUGUGGGGAGUGUACUCACUGUG